rnacentral:lncRNA from 1 species
GAGUAUUGAAGAGAGGAGUAGCACGUGACUGGCACGUGAGUCAAUAUGAUUAGUUAAAAGUAAGUUAUAACUAAUUAUAGGAUUGGGUGUUAGAGAAUUAACGGAAGCUGUGUAAAAUUAGUUAGCUUAGCUGGUAGUUGUAGUGUAUAUAUACUAGCCACAUGUCAUUGUAUACAAUAUGAUUUGAGAAAAUAAUUUCAGCUCAAUUUGCUCUCCAAUGCUCUCCAAUGGAGUUUCUGGAGUUUCUAGAACCUUCUGGUUCAUUUCUCUUUUCUCAUUUUAAUCGAGCUAAUCUCAAAUCUUCAUCAAAAAGCAAAUAAUUCUGGCCAGAAACUUUCAAACACUUAAAUUACGUUUAACUUGUUACAGUAACUUUUUGAGAGAGUUGAUCAGACAAAAAGAUAGUCAGCAUAUAAAUUAAAAGACUGAGAACAGCUUUUGCAUAAACGAAAUGGCAUCUGUGCUACUCAUAUUGCUCCAUGAAAUCAUCGUUGAACUUUUUGAAACUAGCCAUUAUUGAAGGCAUGUCUUCUUCAGCUGGCAAGAUAGUUGUUCUUAGGUGGAACACCCUACAUAGAGAAGCACCCUCAAAUUGCAAUAGAUUCCACCAUCGAGAAGCUAGUCUAAUUAAGGAUUUAACUUAUACUCACCAUUUUUAACACGUUACCAAUUAAUGUUUAUCAUAUAAUUUAACCUAUAAUUAACUUUUAAAUAACCUAAUUGUGCUCACUAUCUUACGACUAAGAGGACUUUGUAAUGAACUAGGUGCAGAAGUUGAACUGCCAGUGGAGCUGUAUUGUGAUAGCAAAGCAGCAAUUCAAAUUGCUGCAAAUCUCAUAUUUCAUGAGCGUACAAAACACAUAGAGAUGGACCUACACUCCAUCAUAGAAAGGAUUCAACAAGGAAUUGUCAGAACCAAGUAUGAUGUCUAAGGAUCAAGAAGUAGAUUUGUUCACAAAGGCAGUGGGGAGAUCACAACAUGAGUACUUGAUGAGCAAGCUAGGAGUGCUCAAUCUAUUUGCACCACCUAGCUUGAGGGGGAGUAUUGAAGAGAGGAGUAGCACGUGACUGGCACGUGAGUCAGUAGGAUUAGUUAGAAAGUAAGUUAUAACUAAUUAUGGGAUUGGGUGUUAGAGAAUUAACGAAAGUUGUGUAAAAUUAGUUAGCUUAGCUGGUAGUUGUAGUGUAUAUAUACUAGCCACGUGUCAUUGUAUUCAGUAUGAUUUGAGAAAAUAAUUUCAGCUCAAUUUGCUCUCAAAUGAAGUUUCUGUUCUAGAACCUUCUGGUUCAUUUCUCUUCUCUCAUUUCAAUCAAGCUAAUCUCAAAUCCUCAUCAAAAAGCAAAUAAUUUUGUCCAGAAACUUUCAAACACUUAAAUUACGUUUAACUUGUUACAGUAACUUUUUGAGAGAGAGUUCAUCAGACAAAAAGUUAGUCAACAUAUAAAUUAAAAGACUGAAAACAGCUUUUGCAUAAACGAAUGGACUCUGUGCUACUCAUAUUGCUCCAUGAAAUCAUCGUUGAACUUUUUGAAACUAGUCAUUAUUGAAGGCAUGUCUUCUUCAGCUGGCAAGAUAGUUGUUCUUAGGUGGAACACCCUACAUAGAGAAGCACCCUCAAAUUGCCCAUCGAGAAGCUAGUCUAAUUAAGGAUUUAACUUAUACUCACCAUUUUUAACACGUUACCAAUUAAUGUUUAUCAUAGAAUUUAACCUAUAAUUAACUUUUAAAUAACCUGAU